GACGAACGCUGGCGGCGUGCUUAACACAUGCAAGUCGAACGCUGAAGACCUGGCUUUUGUUGGGUUGGAUGAGUGGCGAACGGGUGAGUAACACGUGAGUAACCUGCCCUCUUCUUUGGGAUAACGCCCGGAAACGGGUGCUAAUACUGGAUAUUCACUGGCCUUCGCAUGGGGGUUGGUGGAAAGGUUUGUUCUGGUGGGGGAUGGGCUCGCGGCCUAUCAGCUUGUUGGUGGGGUGAUGGCCUACCAAGGCUUUGACGGGUAGCCGGCCUGAGAGGGUGACCGGUCACAUUGGGACUGAGAUACGGCCCAGAAUCCUACGGGAGGAAGCAGUGGGGAAUAUUGCACAAUGGGCGAAAGCCUGAUGCAGCGACGCCGCGUGAGGGAUGGAGGCCUUCGGGUUGUAAACCUCUUUCGCUCAUGGUCAAGCCGCAACUGUGGGUUGUGGUGAGGGUAGUGGGUAAAGAAGCGCCGGCUAACUACGUG
rnacentral:rRNA from 1 species